UUUGUUAAGAGUUUUUACAUAAGCAGUAUUUGCAGAUGAUGAAAUGAAACCAGCAGUAAUUUUUCCAGAUGCUACAAAGAGAAUUUCAGAGGCAGCAGGGUGAGUGUGCAUUGGAACAACACCCCCUGGUGCAAGGUCCAGUCGUGCAGAGGAUAGGCCAAGACCAUUUACUCCCGGAAAUUGCUGAACAAAAGCUGGCGUCACAGCAGCACUGAUAAUAUUCGUAGUGUUACCA
rnacentral:lncRNA from 1 species